CAGUGGGGAAUCUUGCGCAAUGGGCGAAAGCCUGACGCAGCAACGCCGCGUGCGGGAUGACGGCCUUCGGGUUGUAAACCGCUUUCAGCAGGGACGAAAAUGACGGUACCUGCAGAAGAAGCUCCGGCUAACUACGUGCCAGCAGCCGCGGUAAUACGUAGGGAGCGAGCGUUGUCCGGAUUUAUUGGGCGUAAAGAGCUCGUAGGCGGUUCCGUAAGUCGCGAAGUCAAAUCUCUGGGCUCAACCCAGAUUCGCUUCCGAUACUGCGGUGACUGGAGUCCGGUAGGGGAGUGUGGAAUUCCUGGUGUAGCGGUGAAAUGCGCAGAUAUCAGGAGGAACACCAACAGCGAAGGCAGCACUCUGGGCCGGUACUGACGCUGAGGAGCGAAAGCGUGGGGAGCGAACAGGAUUAGA
rnacentral:rRNA from 1 species